UUAGGUUGGUGCAAAAGUAAUUGUGGUUUUUGCCAUUUUAAAGUAAUGGCAAAAGCUGCAAUUACUUUUGCACCAAACUAAUA
rnacentral:miRNA from 1 species